rnacentral:rRNA from 1 species
AGAGUUNNAUCCUGGNUCAGAUUGAACGNUGGCGGCAUGCCUAACACAUGCAAGUCGAACGGUAACAGGACGCUAUGAUCCCUUNGGGGUGAAUUUGUCGCUGACGAGUGGCGGACGGGUGAGUAAUGCGUAGGAAUCUACCUUCAAGUGGGGGAUAGCCNGGAGAAAUCCGGAUUAAUNCCGCAUGUUCUNUACGGAGAAAAGCGGGCCUCUGUUUCAAGCUCGCGCUUGGAGAUGAGCNUACGUCGGAUUAGCUAGUUGGUGGGGUAAAGGCCUACCAAGGCAACGAUCCGUAGCUGGUUUGAGAGGAUGAUCAGCCACACUGGGACUGAGACACGGCCCAGACUCCUACGGGAGGCAGCAGUGGGGAAUAUUGGACAAUGGGCGCAAGCCUGAUCCANCAAUGCCGCGUGUGUGAAGAAGGCNUGCGGGUUGUAAAGCACUUUUAUCGGGAAAGAAAAGCNNGAGGUUAAUAGCCUUUAAGCCUUGACGGUACCCGUUGAAUAAGCACCGGCUAACUCAGUGCCAGCANCCGCGGUAAU